rnacentral:rRNA from 1 species
AGUGACGAAAAUAACAAUACAGGACUCUUUUAUGAUGUUCUGUAAUUGGAAUGAAUUAACUUUAAAUCCUUUAAUGAGGAUCAAGUGGAGGGCAAGUCUGGUGCCAGCAGCCGCGGUAAUUCCAGCUCCACUAGCGUAUAUUAAAGUUGUUGCGGUUAAAACGUUCGAAGUUGAACUUUGUCUCACACUGUGGCGUCCCCCUUACGGG